rnacentral:rRNA from 1 species
GUCCACGCCGUAAACGAUGGGUACUAGGUGUUGUGGGUAUUGACCCCCUCAGUGCCGACGCUAACGCAUUAAGUACCCCGCCUGGGAAGUACGGCCGCAAGGCUAAAAACUCAAAAGGAAUUGAACGGGGGCCCGCACAAGCGGUGGAGCAUGUGGUUUAAUUCGACGCAACGCGAAGAACCUUACCCAGACUUGACAUCGAUGGAAUCCUGUAGAAAUACGGGAGUGCCCUUCGGGGCCCAGAAGACAGGUGCUGCAUGGCUGUCGU